GAUGAACGCUAGCGGCAGGCCUAACACAUGCAAGUCGCGGGGCAGCGCGGUGCAGCAAUGCACUGGCGGCGACCGGCGCACGGGUGCGUAACGCGUAUGCAACCUGCCCAUUCCCGGGGGAUAGCCCGCCGAAAGGCGGAUUAAUACCCCAUGGACCCUUAGCCCCGCAUGGGGCGGAGGGUAAAGCUCCGGCGGGAAUGGAUGGGCAUGCGUGCCAUUAGCUGGUUGGUGGGGUAACGGCCCACCAAGGCUACGAUGGCUAGGGGGUCUGGGAGGAUGAUCCCCCACACUGGUACUGAGACACGGACCAGACUCCUACGGGAGGCAGCAGUGAGGAAUAUUGGUCAAUGGGCGGAAGCCUGAACCAGCCAUGCCGCGUGCAGGACGACGGCCCUACGGGUUGUAAACUGCUUUUCCGGGGGAAGAAUAACCCCCCUGCGGGGGGGGAUGCCGGUACCCCGGGAAUAAGGAUCGGCUAACUCCGUG
rnacentral:rRNA from 1 species